CAACAACAACAUCAACAAGUGCUCAAAGCCACAUGGACAUAGAAACGCCCAUUCCUUCAACCUUGUAUUACUAUCAUCACACAGGUGCCGGCUUUAGUUCCGGAGAAAGAAGAGGCCGGAGGAGGAGGAGGACGACGACGACGACGAGAAGAGCAAAGCAUUUUCAUUAUCAAAUUCAGGGAAAAACGACCAAUUCUCAAGUUACACCGGACAACCUGUAAACGUUUAUUUGGAAUACUCAUUUGAGCAAGAAAAUUCUAGCCUCUCAUGGUGUUGAAGAAAGACGAAGGUUUAAGAGAUACAAGACCUCAGCCUCGUACCUUCAUCACCUUUAAGAGCGGUUGAUACAUUUGUCGCAUGGUUUUAAGAAUAAUCAAUCUUAGCAGUAGUGCUGAAUGCAACCUUAUCGAUCUCACAUAUGUUUACAGAAGUGUUCAACUCAAUCUACAUGAGGAAUGAAUGCUAUUAUAUUAAUUUCACCUCAAAAAAAAAAAAAAAAAAUAGAGGAUCAGGGUGUAGAGCUUCCAGGAGUGGUGAUACUUCGUCUGAAGAGUCAAGACAACAUGAAUCCUAUUUUACAAGAGAAGUAUAAGUUAGUUAUUAAUAGAAAGUUUAAUAUAAUUGGCAUUGGAUAA